UCGGAUGCGGAACGGUCUGCAGCGGUGGGUGGCGACGGAGCGGACGGAGUAGAGUUUUGCGACCAUCAUCAGCAGCAGCAGUUUGUGCAAGACACAAGAGCGAACGCAGAGGAGAACGACGGGAAUCGUAAAAAAAGACAAGAUUCGUAAUCGUUUUCCACCAUCAAAGUUCGGUAGUGAAAUUGAAAUAAACUUUUCUCCGUGAAAUUUGCACCGUUCGAUCCGAAUUACGCGUCAAUUUGUGCGUGCUGUCACUCAGUCAGUCAACCAAGAGGACGUAGUGUGUGGCAGACAAACGAGACAAGGCCAUCCUCAGGCCAGCACGGCAUACGGUGGAAGUGAAAGAAUACUGCCUGCCGUGCAGCAGCAGCAGCAGCUAGCUAACGUCAGCAAGUCAAAGGCCCAACAACAUCCAUCGCGAGUGAGGUGUCCCGCAACGAAAAAACAAGCAAGACGUUGCGCAAAUUUCCUCCAAGAAUAACGCACUCCACGACGGACACUCGAUUCACGGUCGGUCGGGUCGAUUGGAUUGGUUGGUGGCCAAUGCUGUGCGGUGCCUGCUGGAGGAAGCGCCGGAGGAGUGCAGUUAUUUUGUGUUUUCCGUUGUGUGUUUUGUGUGUGGAAUAUUAGAAAAAUAGAAGAACAGCAAUUGCAGCUGGCAGGUGUGCGUGUGUGAAUAUAUAGUGUGAAGAAGCAGCAGAACAGGGAACAACGGAAGCUGGUUGUUGGAAGCAGCUGAGCGGAGCUACGACGCGGUUGCAGCGAAGGUGGAAGGCGCCUGCCUGUGUGCACUUUGUGUAUACGCUUCGGUAUAGUUUUACAAUAUAGUGCUAGCGACAGCAG